rnacentral:rRNA from 1 species
CAAUAGCGUAUACUAACGUUGUUGCAGUUAAAAGCUCGUAGUUGGAUUUCUGUUGCGGUGAGUCGGCCGGCUCUUCGGAGUUGUAGCUAGAUUUCAUUGCAGCAUCUUGUCGUAAUCACCACUGGCAUUAAUUUGUUGGUGUGUGGGACCGACUCGUUUACUUUGAGAAAAUCAGAAUGUUCAAAGUGGGCUAUCGCCUUGAAUGUAUUAGCAUGGAAUAAUGAUAUAGGACUUUUGGUUCUAUUUUGUUGGCGUUCGAGAACCAAAGUAAUGAUUGAUAGGGACGGUUGGGGGCGUCAGUAUUCUGUAGCGAGAGGUGAAAUUCUUGGACCUACGGAAGACUAACAGCUGCGAAAGCGUUCGCCUAGGACGUUCUCUUUAAUCAAGAACGAAGGUUGGGGGAUCGAAGACGAUCAGAUACCGU